UCUGGGUUAGUCGGGUCCUAAGCUGAGGCCGACAGGCGUAGGCGAUGGAUAACAGGUUGAUAUUCCUGUACCACCUAGCAUCGUUUUAAUCGAUGGGGGAUGCACUA
rnacentral:rRNA from 1 species